rnacentral:rRNA from 1 species
GAUGAACGCUAGCUACAGGCUUAACACAUGCAAGUCGAGGGGAAACGAUAUUGGAAGCUUGCUUCCGAUAGGCGUCGACCGGCGCACGGGUGAGUAACGCGUAUCCAACCUGCCCACCACUUGGGGAUAACCUUGCGAAAGUAAGACUAAUACCCAAUGACGUCCAUAGAAGACAUCUGAAAUGGAUUAAAGAUUUAUCGGUGAUGGAUGGGGAUGCGUCUGAUUAGCUUGUUGGCGGGGUAACGGCCCACCAAGGCGACGAUCAGUAGGGGUUCUGAGAGGAAGGUCCCCCACAUUGGAACUGAGACACGGUCCAAACUCCUACGGGAGGCAGCAGUGGGGAAUAUUGGUCAAUGGGCGAGAGCCUGAACCAGCCAAGUAGCGUGCAGGAUGACGGCCCUAUGGGUUGUAAACUGCUUUUAUAAGGGAAUAAAGUGAGUCUCGUGAGGCUUUUUGCAUGUACCUUAUGAAUAAGGACCGGCUAAUUCCGUGCCAGCAGCCGCAGUAA